rnacentral:lncRNA from 1 species
AAGAGAAAGGAAGAAUACAAAAUGGAAGCCUGGGAUAGAGAUCAUCUCCUAGGAAAGGGGGAGGCCACCCAAGGCCUGUCAGGGGGAGGGCUCCACUUCUCAGCCCAUCUGCAGUAGGUCCACAUUCGGGGUAGGCAAGAGCAAGGCCUGCUGGAAAGGGAAACUGCUCAUCAAGAAACUGAGGGAGGCUGGGCACGGUGGUUCAUGCCUGUAAUCCCAGCACUCUGGAAGUCCAAGGUGGGUGGAUCACCUGAGGUCAGGAGUUCGAGACCAGCCUGGCCAACAUGGCAAAACCCUGUCUCUACUAAAAAUACAAAAAUUAGCCGGGUGUGGUAGUGCACGCCUAUAGUCUCAGCUACUCAGGAGGCUGAGGCAGGAUAAUCGCUUGAACCUGAGAGGCGGAGGUUGUGGUGAGCCAAGAUCGUGCCACUGUACUCCAGCCUGGGUGAAAGAGCAAGACUCUCUCAAAAAAAAAAAAAAAAAAAAGGAGAAGUGGAGGAUUGAGGGUCAUCCUGAGCAUUGGCUGGACCUCAGAGGCAGGCCUGAGUUCAAAUCAUCCCAACCUAAUGUUUGCCUUGGGCAAGUUUUGGAACCUCCAUUUCUUUACCUAUGAAAGGAAAAUGAUGCCACUUGCCUUUCAGAAAAGUAUUCAGUGAGAUAACCUGUUGGAGAGCCUGGCACAUAGUAGGUGCUUGUUUCUAUCUACUUGUACUUGUUUCUAUUUCUUUUUCUACCCCCUCAGCCCUUAUGCCUAGGAUCUUGCAUAUUAUAUGUGCCUUAUUAAUGCUUGCAAUUGUAAGUGCACUGUAAGUGCAGGAUGAGGGCUACAGGGCAAUGUUUAGAGCAGGGGAAGUCAAUGGACCUGGAUUCAAAUCCUCGCUCUGCUAUUUGCUAGCUGUAAGCCUUUGAGCAAAUCACCUUUGAGCAAAUCACCUUUCUGUUUCUUGGUUUCCUUAACUGUGAAAUGGGAGAUAGCAAUACUGUUGUCUUCAUAGGGUUGAUUAGGACUAAAUGAGACCCUGCAAAUAAAUAGCAGAGCUUGGCACAUGAGGUGCAUGGUACUUAAACUUGAGUGAGGCUGUUUCUGCAUGCGCUGCACAGUUUGUGUUCACUGUCAGUUUUCAGGAAAUGUGAAUUAAUCUGUGGGGUGUCCAGAACCGGAGAGUGGGUGAACCUCAAGACAGGGCCAUAGGAUGGCAGUCUCUCCCCGAAAGGGGUGACCGCUCACUUUCUGGAUUCCCUCUAGUGCGGACACCCAGCUCAUACCAGUCACAGGGGCUGGGUGCUCCUUGAAGUCAGAGUGAACUCAUCUAUGAAGCCCAGACCAGGGCCUGACACAUGGCACAGGCUCAGCAACAGUUAAGGUAAACUGAGUUAGAGGAUAUCUUAAUAAUAUACUGGCUAACAUAUAUUCUGUGCAUAUUCUGUGCCAGGCUCUGGUCUAAGCACUUUACAUUUUGAUCCUCACAACAACCUAUGAGCUAGAUAUUAUCCAUUUUUAAAAUGUGGGAACAGAGAGGCUAAGUAAUUUGCCCAAAGUCACACAACUAGUAAGCAAUGACGAAGCUCGGAUUUGAACCCAGGCUACCUGGCUCUAGAACCUAUGUUCUUAACUACCACAUUACCCGCAGCCCCAUGGGCUGGGUCCAUCCAUUUUACUAUAUCUGCCACCACGAAUUUCCUCCCCCAGCUCUCUCACUUGCCCCUCUCUUCUCCCAGCUGAGCCCAGGCCCAGUGCAACUCAAAGAAUGGAAAUUCUCUUCCACUAGCCUCAGCAAUCUGCCUCCCCCUUUGUUGAAAUAAAGCCACUGCCACAGCCAAAGCCACCACCGGAUCUCUUGCUUAUUUCAAGUCCUCCUAAAGCUUGUUGAGUUCUUAACUUAUUAAAGAUAAGCACAUGGAAAUAGGGAGCAAAUCUCUUUAUUUAUGACAUAAUCUCCAGCCCAGAAAAGCGGCAGGAACGGUGUUGCCUAUAUUAGGGAACCAAUAGGAAAAAAAUCAAUUAGAUCCGCCAGACCGUUUCGCUAUUAACUUUCUUCUGAUGUUUCUCUUAAGGCUGGCCAUGGGGGUCUCCACCAGCAGCUGAGGUGGAGAGAGAGGAGAGCUUUGUAGGAACAGAGAAAGGAAUGUCACAAGGAAGGCAGCUGACCAGGCUUCCAGACAGACAGGGGAAUCUUUUCAUCAUGGUCUCCUUCACUGCUUUCCAAAUCUCAUUUAACCUCCAUGUUUCUUGCUGCAAUUUCAGUUGGUGUCUUUAGGGGCAGGGGAGUCAAUUGGUCACUGUUGGCUUCUUGCAGACUUGAACCCCAAGUCUGACCACAUUUUUGCAAGACCCAUCGGGAGAAGGAUCCUCCCCUUUCUGAAAGAACAAUAUUCUGGAGGGGCUCUUCUUGACUGAUGUUUAGUAGGCUCUUCUGCUGGAUAAUUAUGCCUCAAACAACCCCAAGCAGCUACCGCAUGAGGUCUUCACAUCCAUCUGCCUGCCUCCAGGAGCACUUUCUAAGCUAUCUCCCAGAGAUAGGGCUCACCCUUAUUCCUGAGAGCCUCCGGUGAGGAGGGUGCCCUAGCUCCCAUAGUAACCCCAGAAUUAGUCUCCUUAAAGGCUGGGGAUCAUGGCUUGUUCAAUAGUUUUUCUUCAGGUUCGGGCAUAUAGAAGGGGCUCAAUAAAUAGUCACAGAAUCAAUAACUAUUACAAAAGCCCCAUUGAUGGAAUGCUCGCUCCGUACCAAGGCUGAGAAGGGUGAUCUGUCACCCAAAGUAGGACCCCUUUGUUGCUCCCUGAACCAACAACCCAGAAGAGCCUGCCAGUUUUGUAGUUUUGUUUUUCCUUUUCUUGCUAUUUGGCCAGGAGCAGCAGUAGCAGCAGCUCCAAGAACAGCACUGGCUCCUUCUUAGUCCCAUGGAAGCACAGAUCAACAUCAUUGCCCUUGCAAACUUCUCUCAGCUUAGGAGAGUCUACUCGCUCUUUGCACAUUGUUGACAUGAAAUGAAUAUUAAACACCAAACCUCAUAGAGGCCAGCCCUGCUGGGCGAGCAAUGAA